rnacentral:rRNA from 1 species
UGGGGAAUUUUGGACAAUGGGCGAAAGCCUGAUCCAGCAAUGCCGCGUGUGUGAAGAAGGCCUUCGGGUUGUAAAGCACUUUUGUCCGGAAAGAAAUCCUUGGCUCUAAUACAGUCGGGGGAUGACGGUACCGGAAGAAUAAGCACCGGCUAACUACGUGCCAGCAGCCGCGGUAAUACGUAGGGUGCAAGCGUUAAUCGGAAUUACUGGGCGUAAAGCGUGCGCAGGCGGUUUGCUAAGACCGAUGUGAAAUCCCCGGGCUCAACCUGGGAACUGCAUUGGUGACUGGCAGGCUAGAGUAUGGCAGAGGGGGGUAGAAUUCCACGUGUAGCAGUGAAAUGCGUAGAGAUGUGGAGGAAUACCGAUGGCGAAGGCAGCCCCCUGGGCCAAUACUGACGCUCAUGCACGAAAGCGUGGGGAGCAAACAGGAUUAGAUACCCUGGUAGUCCACGCCCUAAACGAUGUCAACUAGUUGUUGGGGAUUCAUUUCCUAGUAACGUAGCUAACGCGUGAAGUUGACCGCCUGGGGAGUACGGUCGCAAGAUUAAAACUUAAAUGAAUUGACGGGGU